rnacentral:rRNA from 1 species
UACGGGGGGGGCAAGCGUUGUUCGGAAUUACUGGGCGUAAAGGGCUCGUAGGCGGCCAACUAAGUCAGACGUGAAAUCCCUCGGCUUAACCGGGGAACUGCGUCCGAUACUGGUUGGCUUGAAUCCGGGAGAGGGAUGUGGAAUUCCAGGUGUAGCGGUGAAAUGCGUAGAUAUCUGGAGGAACACCGGUGGCGAAGGCAGCCCCCUGGGCCAAUACUGACGCUCAGGCACGAAAGCGUGGGGAGCAAACAGG